rnacentral:lncRNA from 1 species
AUGAGGAUUCCAAUGCUGUGACUCCAGCUCCAGCCUUGGCUUAUGUUGUGAGUUUACCCUAAUCCCUGAAGUCAGGUCUUUUAGAAUUGAGCAUGUGCAAAUUGCAGACACCUUGCAGGGCUAAUUGGGCAUACAAAUGGGAUCACAGCUAACCAGAGACAUCUUGGAGCUGGCUGGCUUCAUGCACAAAAAUAUGGAGUGUAUUUCUUUGUCCUGAAGGGAAGACCACACAGGCUUUAACCAAGUGAAAACAGCUGUGUACAGUCUCUGUCCUCCUGUAGGAAUGAUGUGAAUGAUUGUAAGUGUCGGGAGUUUUGCGUUGCACAGGCUCUGUACUCCUGCAGAGGAUAAUAUACCUGUGUGUAUCCAAGGCUUUUCUCUCAGGGAGGAAGAAACACUGGGGAGAACAGCUGAUUUGUCCUUGUCUUCACAAAGCAAACUUUUGGACCCCUUCACCCCAAAUUAAAUACAAUUGUUUAAAAUUUGUUGUAUUGGGGUGAUAGACAAACAUAUAUUUUUUAAUACCAAAAAUUGGCAAUAUAAGAGAUCCCAACUCAAAAUGCUAUCCAAAUUAAGUAACCCUACAGUUAGUUUCAGUUAGUUUUAAUGCCAGAAACCGUCCAGUCUAAAUGGUGUGAAUAAAAUCUGAACCCUCCUUCUCCCUCUAGUAUUC